rnacentral:sRNA from 1 species
GGCGGAGCGGCGGAGGCGCCCAGCGGAGGUGGAAGUAUUGGCGGAAAGGAAAAUACAGCGGAAAAAUGCAGAGCUGGAGUCGUGUGUACUGCUCCUUGGCCAAGAGAGGCCAUUUCAAUCGAAUAUCUCAUGGCCUACAGGGACUUUCUGCAGUGCCUCUGAGAACUUACGCAGAUCAGCCGAUUGAUGCUGAUGUAACAGUUAUAGGUUCUGGUCCUGGAGGAUAUGUUGCUGCUAUUAAAGCUGCCCAGUUAGGCUUCAAGACCGUCUGCAUUGAGAAAAAUGAAACACUUGGUGGAACGUGCUUGAAUGUUGGUUGUAUUCCUUCUAAGGCUUUAUUGAACAACUCUCAUUAUUACCAUAUGGCCCAUGGAAAAGAUUUUGCAUCUAGAGGAAUUGAAACAUUAGGUUGAAAUUUUCCAGUUGGUGAGUGAAAAACACUGCAUAUUGCUUCAAGAAUUUAGCUAAGAACUAAAGAUUAAUUGAACAAAUUACAGUGUCCGAAGUUCGCUUGAAUUUAGACAAGAUGAUGGAGCA